CGCUCUUGUUUGUAUUCAAACUGCAUAAAUCUUUUGUCUUUUACUGAAGAAUUCCGUGGAGCGAAAGCUAAAGAGUUUUCUUGAAUUUUUUGAUACCUUACUUAUUAGUAAGGCU